CACAUGGUUGCAAAAAGACACAAAACACUUUAAAAUACAUAAAGUCACAUUUACACAUAACACACAGGCAUUUCACAUAUCCCCAGAUAGCUGGGAUCUGAGUGCACAUUAUUAGAUGAAUGGCACUCAGAUCACACAAAUAAGCCUUUCUGCAGGGGAAAUAAACAGUUUAACCUGCAGGACCAUAGUCCAAAGGGAGCAGGCGAGCAACCAGGCUUCUCCAGUUCACAGUGGCGAGGUUGGUUUCGCCACACUUCUCCCCUUUACCAACUAGACUAACAGGGUAUCUGACCUCCUGCCGGUCAG